AUCAAGAAAUACAAGAGAUUAGAGAAUGGGUUGAUAAAACAAUCGACAAUUUAGGAAACGAUUAUUUUACUAUCUACGUUAAUUUACCAACCAAUACUGAUACACACGUUGCCACAGACUCGCAACUAUAGGCAGAAUUCACUGUAGCGCUACCGACAGAUUUUUGCGAAUAUCUCGGAAACUAAGCGAAACCACCGUAUGAAAAAAUUGUUCAAAAUAUCGAUUUCUACAACAUAUCCAAAAAUCAUCGAAAUCGGAGAUGAGCGUUCCAGAGAGCGAGAAGAACGCAUAUUUAAUCAAACAAUCGAAUGAAAAGAUAGCUUCGAUAUAGAAUUACUGGACAAUAUAUCGAAUUUUAUAUAUAUCGUAUAUGACUGAGAAACUAAAGUACAUGGAAUUAGGAUAUUUACGUUUUGAAUUACCUUGAGUACAUCCAAACCUUGGGAGGGCGUUCGACAUCUGCUGGUCUUGACCGCUCGAGCUUUGUCCGGGCUUCCGGCUCGGCUGAGGGUGCCUUCAGAGGGCACGAU